rnacentral:rRNA from 1 species
AGUGAACGUUGGCGGCGUGGAUUAGGCAUGCAAGUCGAGCGAGAACCGUAGCAAUAUGGGGACAGCGGCGAAAGGGACAGUAAUGUGUAGGUACCUACCUCCGGGUUCGGGAUAGCUGCGGGAAACUGCAGGUAAUACCGAAUAACGUCUCCGGACCAAAGGUGUGAUUCCACCUGGAGAGGGGCCUGCAUCCUAUUAGCUUGUUGGCGGGGUAACGGCCCACCAAGGCGACGAUGGGUAGCGGGUGUGAGAGCACGACCCGCGUCAUUGGGGCGGGGAGACUGCCCAGACACCUACGGGUGGCUGCAGUCGUGAAUCUUCGGCAAUGGGCGCAAGCCUGACCGAGCGACGCCGCGUGCGGGAUGAAGGCCUUCGGGUUGUAAACCGCUGUCGUAGAGGAGGAAAUGCAGGGGGGUUCUCCCCUCUGUUUGACCUAUUCUAGGAGGAAGUACGGGCUAAGUUCGUGCCAGCCGCCGCCGUAA